GAUGAACGCUAGCGGCAGGCCUAAUACAUGCAAGUCGAGGGGUAUGGGUUGCUUGCAACCCAGAGACCGGCGCACGGGUGCGUAACGCGUAUGCAAUCUACCUUAAUCAGGGGGAUAGCCCGGAGAAAUCCGGAUUAACACCGCAUAACAUUGAGUUGUGGCAUCACAGUUCAAUCAAAUAUUUAUAGGAUUACGAUGAGCAUGCGUGACAUUAGUUAGUUGGUGAGGUAACGGCUCACCAAGACCACGAUGUCUAGGGGAUCUGAGAGGAUGACCCCCCACACUGGUACUGAGACACGGACCAGACUCCUACGGGAGGCAGCAGUAAGGAAUAUUGGUCAAUGGGCGCAAGCCUGAACCAGCCAUGCCGCGUGCAGGAAGACGGCCCUAUGGGUUGUAAACUGCUUUUGUACCGGAAUAAACCUUCUCUUGCGAGAGAAGCUGAACGUACGGUAAGAAUAAGGAUCGGCUAACUCCGUG
rnacentral:rRNA from 1 species